GAAACAUGGAACGUUUUUCAAGAGAAGUAUUUCAGUGAUGGCAUUUUGGCUCUUUGGUAGUCAGGGACACCAGUGCUUGCUAUCUUCAUGUUCUUUCCAGAGUUACCUCCAAGUUUAAGGCCAGCCACCUCAUGUUUCCAAGACAGCUGCUGGAGUGCCAGCCCUUAGACACAAGGCCAGAUGAAGGUGUUGUUCUUCAACCUGCUAGAUUCUUCUUAGGAGAAUGCAGUGCAAGUGCUCGACCUCAGCUUUAAUUGCCAAGGCAUCCAUCUCAAAGAAGGCUCUCCUUCAAAGAUGGCGACCUCCAAGAAACACAUGGUCAGCCCCAGGACAAGACAGAGCCAGGCUACCUCACCCCACUGAGCCUCCUUGGUUUCAGAGAACUCGAUUUCAAUAACUGACCAUUUGGGCCACGUGCCUUUUCUUUUCUCACCUUUUUUGAAAUUCACCAAUAGUGAAUGAGCCCCUGAACCCUAGGCCCCUACUCUCCACCCCAAUAAAAGCAGAACCUCUGGCCUGUG